GGCCCGUGGCGCAUGCUUACACAUUGCAGUUCAAAGCCGAAGCCGCUUUUCCCGGAAGUUUUCGGAACGGAAAAAGGGAAAGACUGAAGCGGCGGAACGGGUGAAGUAACGCGUGGGGAACCUGCCUCAUACAGGGGAAUAACAGAUGGAAACGUCUGCUAAUGCCGCAUAAGCGCACACUGUGGCAUCACAGAGUGUGAAAAACUCCGGUGGUAUGAGAUGGCCCCGCGUCUGAUUAGGCAGUUGGCGGGGUAACGGCCCACCAAACCGACGAUCAGUAGCCGACCUGAGAGGGUGACCGGCCACAUUGGGACUGAGACACGGCCCAAACUCCUACGGGAGGCAGCAGUGGGGAAUAUUGCACAAUGGGGGAAACCCUGAUGCAGCGACGCCGCGUGGGUGACGAAGUAUUUCGGUAUGUAAAGCCCUAUCAGCAGGGAAGAAGAUGACAGUACCUGACUAAGAAGCCCCGGCUAACUACGUGCCAGCAGCCGCGGUAAUACGUAGGGGGCAAGCGUUAUCCGGAUUUACUGGGUGUAAAGGGAGCGUAGGUGGCAUGGCAAGCCAGAAGUGAAAACCCGGGGCUUAACCCCGCGGAUUGCUUUUGGAACUGUCAGGCUGGAGUGCAGGAGGGGCAGGCGGAAUUCCUGNUGUAGCGGUGAAAUGCGUAAAUAUCAGGAGGAACACCGGUGGCGAAGGCGGCCUGCUGGACUUUAACUGACACUGAGGCUCGAAAGCGUGGGGAGCAAA
rnacentral:rRNA from 1 species